GAGGAAAGAAGAAGAACGUGGACCAAGAGAUCCAAGGAGGAUUGUGAUGUUGUCUGAAAGAUCUCAGAGUCUUUCUCGUCUUCCUCUUCCAACUGACUCGAGUCAAAACGGGACCUCAAAAAACACAAGCACAUUACCACUAUGCAAGAAAGAAGACCCAAUGAAAGGGAGAAGAAUGGACCGCAUUUUACAGAGACAGGACAGCUGGUCCAACUUUUAUCCAGG